rnacentral:tRNA from 1 species
UCGGGGAUCGUCUAAUGGCAGGACGGCGGUUUCUGGUGCCGCUAGUCAAGGUUCGAAUCCUUGUCCCCGAACCC